GCCGGGGUGUUGGAACCGGUAGACAAGCAAGACUUAAAAUCUUGUGUCCGCAAGGGCGUGAGGGUUCGAGUCCCUCCCCCGGCA
rnacentral:tRNA from 7 species